CUUUGCUCAAAAGCAAAUGUAAAAAACUACAUUUGGUACAAAUAGAAUUUCACUUCAUGUGAGAAAAGAGAAAGGCGAUUACAAUUUGUUUUCUUAUCAUAAAUUUUUUAAAAAACAAUUAAAAAAAAAAAAAGAGAAUGAUCUAGGGGUAUCACCAAUGAGAAAUUUAUCGGUGACUGCUAGAAAAUAAAAAUAAAAGAGAAAAAAAGAAAAAGAGAGGAAAGAGAGGA
rnacentral:misc_RNA from 1 species